GACGAACGCUGGCGGCGUGCUUAAUACAUGCAAGUCGAGCGAGGUCCAUCUGGUGGCAACACCAGUGAAGGCCGAGCGGCGAACGGGUGAGUAACACGUGAGCAACCUGCCCCGAAGUCUGGAAUAACAUCGGGAAACCGGUGCUAAUACCGGAUCGCCCCACCUGACCGCAUGAUCGGGUGAGGAAAGAUUUAUCGCUUCGGGAGGGGCUCGCGGCCUAUCAGCAGUUGGUGGGGUAACGGCCUACCAAGGCAUCGACGGGUAGCUGGUCUGAGAGGACGACCAGCCACACUGGGACUGAGACACGGCCCAGACUCCUACGGGAGGCAGCAGUAGGGAAUCUUGCGCAAUGGGCGAAAGCCUGACGCAGCAACGCCGCGUGGGGGAUGACGG
rnacentral:rRNA from 1 species